rnacentral:lncRNA from 1 species
UCUCCAUCUGGUGGGUGUGUUUACUCCAUCAUGGUGGGUGUGUUUAUCUCCAUCAGGGUGGGUGUGUUUAGCUCCAUCAUGGUGGGUGUGUUUUAUCUCCAUCAUGGGUGGGUGUGUUAUCUCCAUCAGGUGGGUGUGUUUAUCUCCAUCAGGGGUGGGUGUGUUUCUCUCCAUCAGGGUGGGUGUGUUUAUCUCCAUCAGGGUGGGUUGUGUUUAUCUCCUUCAUGGUGGGUGUGUUUAUCUCCAUCAGGGUGGGUGUGUUUAUCUCCAUCAGGGUGGGUGUGUUUACUCCAUCAGGGUGGGUGUGUUUAUCUCCAUCAGGGUGCGUGUGUUUAUCAGGGUGGGGUGUGUUCAUUCCCUCAGGGGUGGGUGUCUUAUCUCCAACAGGGUG